AAAGAAGAAGAGGUCUGUUGCGCGGAGAAAGAAUCUCUGGGGCUGAACUUGGUCGUGAAAGAAGAACAUGAGGAUAUUGCAAUGAAAGGAGAUGAAGACGUGUUUAGAUUUAAGCAGGAGGAGGAGAAUGCUAUAACAUUUAAAAAAGAGAAAGAACCUUGUGGAAUGAAACGGGAAGAGGAGGUUCUCACAUUGAUAGAGGAGGAGGUUACAGUUAAAGAAGAGAAAGACACUUUAGGAGAGGAAGAGGGGAUACAGGCUGUCACAGUGGAAGAGGAAGAGGGGAUACAGGCUGUCACAGUGGAAGAGGAAGAGGGGAUACAGACUGUCACAGUGGAAGAGGAAGAGGGGAUACAGGCUGUC
ensembl:lncRNA